GACGAACGCUGGCGGCGUGCUUAACACAUGCAAGUCGAACGGAAAGGCCCUGCUUUUGUGGGGUGCUCGAGUGGCGAACGGGUGAGUAACACGUGAGUAACCUGCCCUUGACUUUGGGAUAACUUCAGGAAACUGGGGCUAAUACCGGAGAGGAGCUCCUGCUGCAGGGGGGGGGUUGGAAAGUUUCGGCGGUUGGGGAUGGACUCGCGGCUUAUUAGCUUGUUGGGGGGGUAGUGGCUUACCAAGGGUUUGACGGGUAGCCGGCGUGGGAGGGGGGACGGCGACAUUGGGACUGAGGUACGGACCAGACUCGUACGGGAGGCAGCAGGGGGGAAUAUUGCACAAUGGGCGGAAGCCUGAUGCAGCAACGCCGCGUGCGGGAUGACGGCCUUCGGGUUGUAAACCGCUGUCGCCUGUGACGAAGCGUGAGUGACGGUAAUGGGUAAAGAAGCACCGGCUAACUACGUG
rnacentral:rRNA from 1 species